GAUCAUGGCUCAGGAUGAACGCUAGCGACAGGCUUAACACAUGCAAGUCGAGGGGCAGCAUAGAAGUAGCAAUACUUGGUGGCGACCGGCGCACGGGUGAGUAACGCGUAUGCAACCUACCUAUCAGAGGGGAAUAACCCGGCGAAAGUCGGACUAAUACCGCAUAAAACAGGGGCACCGCAUGGUGAUAUUUGUUAAAGAAAUUCGCUGAUAGAUGGGCAUGCGUUCCAUUAGGUAGUUGGUGAGGUAACGGCUCACCAAGCCGACGAUGGAUAGGGAACUGAGAGGUUGGUCCCCCACACUGGUACUGAGACACGGACCAGACUCCUACGGGAGGCAGCAGUGAGGAAUAUUGGUCAAGUGGGCGGGAGCCUGAACCAGCCAAGUCGCGUGGAAAAGGAAGAAGGAUCUAUGGUUACGUAAACUUCUUUGCAGGGGAAUAAAGUGCGGGACGUGUCCUGUUUUGUAUGUACCCUGAGAAUAAGGAUCGGCUAACUCCGUGCCAGCAGCAGC
rnacentral:rRNA from 1 species